UGAAAUUGAUCAAACACAAAUCUCAAGAUACUCUGGAAGGUCUUUCUCAGAGCAGAGUAACAGGUCCUCUGCACAUCAAUCCAGUCGUACAGGGCCUCGUAGGGUAACGGACUUAAGAUUUCCAAUGGAUAUGGCAAAGUUUCAGAAAAAAGUCUUGUCUAAAUUGGUGGAAAUCCACAUGGAGGUCAGAAGGUUGGGAAGAAGUGAGCCUCCCCUUUCAUCCACCCAUACAGAGCAGCUGGAGACGAUGGAGGACUUUGAGAGAGAGGAGGAACGCCUCAAGGACAAGCAAGCCUUUGAGCCUCUGGCAUGAUUUGCAAGACAUACUCUGGAGGUGUUGCAACUUGCAGGAAUUGGAGGGAAAGAUGUAAGGGAUUGUGUCCAUAAAAUUCUUGACAGGUAUUUUCAAC